CGUAGAACGAGCUGCCAGUGGAGGUGACAUGUUCCUCUCAAAUCAUGUUGACUUUCUCUCAUUUUGAACAAUCUUUGGAUACUUUGAGGAGCAGUGCCUCAGAAAGGUGGUAUCCAUCAUUAAGGACCUCCACCCAGACACGCCCUCUUCUCAUUGCUACCAUCAGCAAGGAGGUACAGAAGCCUGAAGGCAUGCACCCAGGGAUCCAGGAACAGCUCUUCCCCUCUGCUAUCUGAUUUCUGAAUGGACAUUGAACCUAUGAACACUACCUCAAUAUUUUAUUAUUCCACAUGUUUUGCAUUUAUUUAAUUUAACUAUUUAAUAUAUAUACUUACUGUAAUUCACAGUUUACUUUUUUCUCUCUAUUAUCAUGUAUUGUAUUGUACUGCUGCCGCAAAGUUAAUAAAUUUCAGACAUAUGCCGGUGAUAUUAAACCUGAUUCUGAUUCUACGACCUGCAGACUCACUUGCAAGGACUUUUAUAAACUAUCUUCUCAGUAUUAUUUUUUAUUUGCACAUCUUGCCUUCUUUUGCGCAUUGGAUGUUUGUCAGUCUUUGUCUGGUUAUAUAUAGUUGUUCAUGACUUCCAUCGUAUGACAUUGUUUUCCUGUAAAUGCCUGCAAAAAAUGAACCUCAAGGUAGCAAAUGGUAAUGUACAUGUACUUUGCUAAAAAAAUUACUUUGAAAUAUGGAGAACAUCCAGAGACAUUAUGAAAGUGGAUCGAAAUCUAUGAAAAUACUGGCGUGGAAACUGAAAAAAAAGAUAGCAGAAAAUACUAUUCAUAGAAUUAGAGUCCCAAGAACGAAAAUGUUAAAAAAAUAAGCUAAGUGAAAUUCAAGAAGCUUUUGAAGUGUUUUACAAAACACUAUAUUCCAAAGUUCCAGGGGGAAGCAUAACCCAAAUUGACACCUUCUUGAAUUCUCUAGAGUUACCCACUUUAAGCGAAGAACAAAAUAGAAUGUUGACUGCUGACAUAACUGAAGUUGAAUUAAAAGCUGCAAUAGUAGGCUUAAGUUAAGCAAGUCACCAGGAUCAGAUGGGUAUACGGCAGAGUGGUACAAAGAAUUUAAAAAUGAGUUAAUUCCUGUUUUACUCCCCACACUGAACUGGGCUCUAAAAAAGGCACAAAUGCCACCCAGUUGGAAGGAAGUGAUAAUCUCAGCAAUACUGAAAGAAGGCAAGGAUAAAAUGGAAUGCAGGUCAUUUAGACCAAUAUCUGUUCUUAAUGUAGAUUAUAGGUUAUUUACCUCCAUCAUGGCCAAACGAUUAGAGGAGUUUCUACCCAUACUGAUACGUAAUGAUCAGACAGGUUUUAUACGACAACGCCAGACUCAAGACAAUAUACGAAGGACACUUCACAUUAUGGAUCAUAUAUAAAAAAAUAAAAUCGAAGCAAUAGUGAUAAGCGUGAACGCUGAAAAAGCAUUUGAUUCGGUUAAUUGGAAUUUUCUUUACAGAGUUUUACAUAGAUUUGGUUUCCAAGACACAAUUAUUAAAACUAUACAGACACUAUAUGACAAUCCUAUUGCUAAGAUUAAAAUCAAUAGAUAUUUAUCAAAUAGUCUUACUGAAGAAAGGGGCAGGAGACAGGGUUGUGCAUGGUCACCACUAUUUUUCGCGUUAUAUCUGGAACCUUUAGCUCAAUACAUCAGACAAAAUGAAGAUAUCGGGGAAUUACUAUUAAAGGGACAGAGCAUUUUUGGGGCUGCCCUGUUAUCAAAAACUAUUGGAGGGGGAUACACAAUGCCCUACAAGACAUCUUUAAAUGUGAAAUACCCUUGGAGAGUAGGACCAUAUAUUUUGGAUAUAUACCUCAAGGAUGGUUGAAAAGAGAUAAAUAUUUAAUGAAUAUACUGUUGGUGGCUGGUAAAAAGACUCGUACUAGGAAAUGGUUAUCACAGGAGAGCCCAACUUUAAAUACAUGGAUGGAAAUUACAAUGGACUUUUACAAAAUGGAGAAGAUAACAGCAUUUGUUAAUCAUAAGCUGGAACAAUUUGAUUCACACUGGGAAAAGUGGUUUAACUACAUAAUGCCUCAUAGGCCUGAUUUUAUUCUCACAAAUCAAUGAAUCUGUUGUAAAAAAAAGAUCACUCCCUACUUAUACAUAGUUCUUUCCUUUUGCUUGUUUUUUUCU